rnacentral:tRNA from 1 species
GGGGCCGUGGCCAAACGGUAAGGCAUCUGCUUUGCAAGCAGACGAGUAGGGGUUCGAGUCCCCUCGGCUCCA